UACGGGGGGGGCAAGCGUUGUUCGGAAUUACUGGGCGUAAAGGGCUCGUAGGCGGCCAACUAAGUCAGACGUGAAAUCCCUCGGCUUAACCGGGGAACUGCGCUUGAUACUGGAUGGCUUGAGUUUGGGAGAGGGAUGCGGAACUCCAGGUGUAGCGGUGAAAUGCGUAGAUAUCUGGAGGAACACCGGUGGCGAAGGCGGCAUCCUGGACCAACACUGACACUGAGGAGCGAAAGCCAGGGGAGCAAACGGG
rnacentral:rRNA from 1 species